rnacentral:rRNA from 1 species
CCUACGGGAGGCAGCAGUGAGGAAUAUUGGUCAAUGGCCGGAAGGCUGAACCAGCCAAGCCGCGUGAAGGACGAAGGUGCCAAGCAUUGUAAACUUCUUUUGUCAAGGGACAAAAUCAGGCUCGAGAGCCUGACCGAGGGUACUUGAAGAAAAAGCAUCGGCUAACUCCGUGCCAGCAGCCGCGGUAAUACGGAGGAUGCGAGCGUUAUCCGGAUUUAUUGGGUUUAAAGGGUGCGUAGGCGGGCUGUUAAGUCAGCGGUAAAAGCCCGGGGCUCAACCCCGGCGAGCCGUUGAAACUGGCUGUCGUGAGAUGUCGAGAGGUAUGCGGAAUGCGUGGUGUAGCGGUGAAAUGCAUAGAUAUCACGCAGAACUCCGAUUGCGAAGGCAGCAUACCGGCGCCCGACUGACGCUGAGGCACGAAAGCGUGGGGAUCGAACAGGAUUAGAUACCCGAGUAGUC